UACGUAGGGCGCAAGCGUUGUCCGGAAUUAUUGGGCGUAAAGAGCUCGUAGGCGGUGUGUCGCGUCGGAUGUGAAAGCCCGGGGCUUAACCCCGGGUCUGCAUUCGAUACGGGCAGACUGGAGUGUGGUAGGGGAGAUCGGAAUUCCUGGUGUAGCGGUGAAAUGCGCAGAUAUCGGGAGGAACACCAGUAGCGAAGGCGGCACUCUGGGCCGGUACUGACGCUGAGGAGCGAAAGCGUGGGGAGCGAACAGG
rnacentral:rRNA from 1 species